rnacentral:rRNA from 1 species
GGUGGAGCGGUGGAANGCGCAGAUAUCAGGAGGAACACCGGUGGCGAAGGCGGCUCUCUGGNCCUUUCCUGACGCUGAGAAGCGAAAGCGUGGGGAGCGAACAGGCUUAGAUACCCUGGUAGUCCACGCUGUAAACGGUGGGUACUAGGUGUGGGGGACAUUCCACGUUCUCCGUGCCGUAGCUAACGCAUUAAGUACCCCGCCUGGGGAGUACGGCCGCAAGGCUAAAACUCAAAGGAAUUGACGGGGCCCCGCACAAGCGGCGGAGCAUGCGGAUUAAUUCGAUGCAACGCGAAGAACCUUACCUGGGUUUGACAUAUGCCGGAAGCGUUCAGAGAUGGGCGUGCCUUUUUGGUCGGUUUACAGGUGGUGCAUGGCUGUCGUCAGCUCGUGUCGUGAGAUGUUGGGUUAAGUCCCGCAACGAGCGCAACCCUCGUCCAAUGUUGCCAGCGGGUUAUGCCGGGGACUCAUUGGAGACCGCCGGGGUCAACUCGGAGGAAGGUGGGGAUGACGUCAAGUCAUCAUGCCCCUUAUGUCCAGGGCUUCACGCAUGCUACAAUGGCCGGUACAGUGAGCUGCGAGCCUGUGAGGGUGAGCGAAUCUCUAAAAGCCGGUCUCAGUUCGGAUUGGGGUCUGCAACUCGACCCCAUGAAGUCGGAGUCGCUAGUAAUCGCAGAUCAGCAACGCUGCGG